CAGCUUAAAAAGCAAUCAUCUAAUGGAUAAAAUCCCAAAUAUGGAUAACCACCCAAAUCUAAUCACUCAAUGUCUGAUUCGUGAGUAUCCCUCCAACAGCUUUCAUUCAAGUUGCUUUUUUCCCACAGAUAUUACUGGUUCCAAAUCACCACCAACCGCUCACUGGUGAAGAAUACAAAAAGUCUGUAAAAUCAAACACUCAAUUUGUGAUGUAAUAUCUGUUUUCCUUUUCCCACCUAGCCUGCUUUCACCCCUCCGCCCUCCGUAUCUCUAUCGCUCAGUAGGUCAACAGAGUCUUAUCUUUCAGCUUACGGCACAAAGAGCUCUGAUUGGUGCAGGGGCUUCGCUCGGCUCAGAAAUCUACCUCCUAUUGGCCCUGCCUGCAUAAAGCCCCUGCUAAGUUCAGGCACAGAGAAGUGCAGUGCAGUUCCUGGGACUCUCACAGCUAAAGCUGCUGUAAAGCAGCGCUUCUUAACCGCUCGACUGGAUCCCAAAGAUGUUUCUGCUCCCUGGGUGGAUCUUACAGCCGGGGGCCCCUCCACGGCAUGCUGUCCCAGGGGUGUCACCUCCUCCUCUUCCCGUACCCCAUUGGGACAGGAAUCCUCCAUUGCUGUGACCAUCGCCAAG